GGGUGAGGUGCGCGCCGUUGGCGGAGCCGAGACUCCCCGGCCGCCCAGCGCUGUUUUGCUUGCUGUUGCUUACUCAAUAAAUUCCUUUCUAUUAUUAAAGCAAUGCUCUCUGAAAAAUUAAUUAAGAGGGAGCUUAUAACAAAUUUGGUGCCGUGACUCGGAUGAAGGCAAUCUGAUUGAAAGACCUUCGGAGGGGGCGCCCCGCUGAUUUCAGCGGCCUUCGCUAGGACUACUUUCAUUCAAAUCCUUCACCGACGAACCCUAAAUUCGGCAGCAAGCAAAUAAAGCCGGUAACCCCUAGUAAUCUUUGUGCACGAAGACCGAACGAAGACUCAGGAGUGAAAACGGCUAUUCGAACUGCGGAGAAAGGAUGGACGCAUGCCAGCCGUGUGAAAGGACCAAUCCGGGAAGGUAAAUGGGAGGCAGCUCCAGGCCCUGACGACUUGAAGCUGACACUAAGACGGACUCGAUAAGUAUUUUAUAUUAUCUGUGUAUCGUGGGAAGGGGAGGAGGCCCUGUUUCAAAGGCUCCCUAGUAGGUUCCCCUGAAGAACACUGCUGCUGCCAAGAAGAACCGAUACCUUGUAGUUCGCUGCAACCGAACUGACAAGCGAGGCAGAGAAGUGAAAACGGUGGG